CAAUAGCAUAUAUUAACGUUGUUGCAGUUGAAAAGCUCGUAGUUGAACUUUUGGUAGGAGCGACCUGGCCUUGGGCGCAUGCCCUUGUUUGCCGUGUGUCGUGUCUGGCCAUCCUUUUCUUCUUUUUGGAAGGAAUCUUUUACUGUGAGUAAACUGGAGUGCUCAAAACAAGACGUUUGUUUGGUACAUUAAAGCAUGGAAUAAUAAGAUAGGACCUGGUUACUAUUUUGUUGGUUUGCAUAGCUAGGUAAUGAUUAACAGGGACAGUUGGGGGUAUUCGUAUUUAAUUGUCAGAGGUGAAAUUCUUGGAUUUAUGAAAGACGAACGACUGCGAAAGCAUUUACCAAGGAUGUUUNCAUUA
rnacentral:rRNA from 1 species